rnacentral:rRNA from 1 species
UAACAAGGAUUCCCCUAGUAACGGCGAGUGAAGCGGGAAGAGCUCAAAUUUAAAAUCUGGCAGUCUACGAUUGUCCGAAUUGUAAUCUCGAGAAGUGUUUUCCGCGUUGGCCUGUGCACAAGUCCCUUGGAACAGGGCGUCAUAGAGGGUGAGAAUCCCGUCCUUGGCACAGAUACCCAAUGCUUUGUGAUACACUCUCAAUGAGUCGAGUUGUUUGGGAAUGCAGCUCAAAAUGGGAGGUAAAUUCCUUCUAAAGCUAAAUACUGGCGAGAGACCGAUAGCGAACAAGUACCGUGAGGGAAAGAUGAAAAGCACUUUGGAAAGAGAGUCAAACAGUACGUGAAAUUGUUGAAAGGGAAACGAUUGAAGUCAGUCGUGCCUGCCUAGAUUCAGCCUUCUGGCGUAUUUCUAGGUCGGCAGGUCAGCAUCAGUUUGGGAGGGUUAACAAGGGAAUUAGGAAUGUGGCAACCUCGGUUGUGUUAUAGCCUAGUUUCGUAUUGAUCUUGCUGGACUGAGGAACGCAGUGCGCCCGCAAGGGUAGGUCUUCGGACACUUUCGCACUUAGGAUGCUGGCGUAAU